rnacentral:rRNA from 1 species
AGGGUUUGAUCAUGGCUCAGGAUGAACGCUAGCGGCAGGCCUAAUACAUGCAAGUCGAGGGGCAGCACGAGAUUUCGGUCUUGGUGGCGACCGGCGCACGGGUGCGUAACGCGUAUGCAAUCUACCCACUGCAGAGGGAUAGCCCGUGGAAACAUGGAUUAAUACCUCAUAAUACAGGGAGCCCACCUGGGCAUAUUGUUAAAGCUCCGGCGGCAGUGGAUGAGCAUGCGUCCCAUUAGUUAGUUGGUAAGGUAACGGCUUACCAAGACGAUGAUGGGUAGGGGUUCUGAGAGGAUGAUCCCCCACACUGGUACUGAGACACGGACCAGACUCCUACGGGAGGCAGCAGUAGGGAAUAUUGGUCAAUGGACGCAAGUCUGAACCAGCCAUGCCGCGUGCAGGAAGACGGCCUUCUGGGUUGUAAACUGCUUUUAUCAGGGAAGAAAAUGUCCUUGCGAGGAUAAUUGCCGGUACCUGAAGAAUAAGCACCGGCUAACUCCGUGCCAGCAGCCGCGGUAAUACGGAGGGUGCAAGCGUUGUCCGGAUUUAUUGGGUUUAAAGGGUGCGUAGGCGGCCUAUAAAGUCAGUGGUGAAAGGUAUCAGCUUAACUGAUGAAGUGCCAUUGAAACUUAUAGGCUUGAGUACAGACGAGGUAGGCGGAAUUUAUGGUGUAGCGGUGAAAUGCAUAGAUACCAUAAAGAACACCGAUAGCGAAGGCAGCUUACUAGACUGUAACUGACGCUGAGGCACGAAAGC